rnacentral:tRNA from 1 species
GGGGCUGUAGCUCAGUGGUCAGAGCAGUCGGCUCAUAACCGAUUGGCCGCAGGUUCGAACCCUGCCAGCCCCACCA